rnacentral:tRNA from 4 species
AGGAGCGUAGCUCAGUCCGGCUAGAGCACUGGUCUCCAAAACCAGCGGUCGGGGGUUCGAAUCCCUCCGCUCCUGCCA